GGAGAGAUGCAGGAGAUGGCUGAACUGGCAUGCCUGGAAAGCAUGUGUGCUGUUAUACAGUACCGUGGGUUCGAAUCCCACUCUCUCCGCCA
rnacentral:tRNA from 1 species